UUGUCCUACGGGGGGCAGCAGUGGGGAAUAUUGGGCAAUGGGCGAAAGCCUGACCCAGCAACGCCGCGUGAAGGAAGAAGGCUUUCGGGUUGUAAACUUCUUUUGACAGGGAAGAGCAGAAGACGGUACCUGUCGAAUAAGCCACGGCUAACUACGUGCCAGCAGCCGCGGUAAUACGUAGGUGGCAAGCGUUGUCCGGAUUUAUUGGGUGUAAAGGGCGUGUAGGCGGGAGCGCAAGUCAGAUGUGAAAACUCAGGGCUCAACCCUGAGCCUGCAUUUGAAACUGUGUUUCUUGAGUGCUGGAG
rnacentral:rRNA from 1 species